rnacentral:rRNA from 1 species
UUGGCCUUGACAUACUAAGAACUUUCCAGAGAUGGAUUGGUGCCUUCGGGAACUUAGAUACAGGUGCUGCAUGGCUGUCGUCAGCUCGUGUCGUGAGAUGUUGGGUUAAGUCCGCAACGAGCGCAACCCUUUUCCUUAUUGCCAGCGGGUAAUGCCGGGAACUUUAAGGAUACUGCCAGUGACAAACUGGAGGAAGGCGGGGACGACGUCAAGUCAUCAUGGCCCUUACGGCCAGGGCUACACACGUGCUACAAUGGUCGGUACAAAGGGUUGCUACCUCGCGAGAGGAUGCUAAUCUCAAAAAGCCGAUCGUAGUCCGGAUCGCAGUCUGCAACUCGACUGCGUGAAGUCGGAAUCGCUAGUAAUCGCGGAUCAGAAUGCCGCGGUGAAUACGUUCCCGGGCCUUGUACACACCGCCCGUCACACCAUGGGAGUUUGUUGCACCAGAAGUAGGUAGUCUAACCGCAAGGAGGACGCUUACCACGGUGUGGCCGAUGACUGGGGUGAAGUCGUAACAAGGUAGGCGUAGAUGA